rnacentral:rRNA from 1 species
AUUGAACGCUGGCGGCAUGCCUUACACAUGCAAGUCGAACGGUAACGCGGGGCAACCUGGCGACGAGUGGCGAACGGGUGAGUAAUGUAUCGGAACGUGCCCAGUUGUGGGGGAUAACUGCUCGAAAGAGCAGCUAAUACCGCGUACGACCUGAGGGUGAAAGCGGGGGAUCGCAAGACCUCGCGCAAUUGGAGCGGCCGAUAUCAGAUUAGGUAGUUGGUGAGGUAAAGGCUCACCAAGCCGACGAUCUGUAGCUGGUCUGAGAGGACGACCAGCCACACUGGGACUGAGACACGGCCCAGACUCCGACGGGAGGCAGCAGUGGGGAAUUUUGGACAAUGGACGCAAGUCUGAUCCAGCCAUGCCGCGUGCGGGAAGAAGGCCUUCGGGUUGUAAACCGCUUUUGUCAGGGAAGAAACGCUCUGGGUUAAUACCCCGGGGUAAUGACGGUACCUGAAGAAUAAGCACCGGCUAACUACGUGCCAGCCGCCGCGGUAAAAC